rnacentral:rRNA from 1 species
UACGAAGGGGGCUAGCGUUGUUCGGAAUUACUGGGCGUAAAGCGCACGUAGGCGGACUAUUAAGUCAGGGGUGAAAUCCCGGGGCUCAACCCCGGAACUGCCUUUGAUACUGGUAGUCUCGAGUCCGGAAGAGGUGAGUGGAAUUCCGAGUGUAGAGGUGAAAUGCGUAGAGAUCCGGCGGAACACCGGUGGUGGAGGCGGCACCCUGGGCCGAGGCCGACGCUGAGGCGCGAGAGCGUGGGGAGCGAACCGG